rfam:Cerapachys biroi unplaced genomic scaffold scaffold406, whole genome shotgun sequence.
AAAUCGGCCCUUUUAAGGGCUAUCAUAUAUUUCUAACAUUGAAAG